rnacentral:rRNA from 2 species
UGCCCGGUAGCUAAAUGCGGAAGAGAUAAGUGCUGAAAGCAUCUAAGCACGAAACUUGCCCCGAGAUGAGUUCUCCCUGAGACUUUAGGUCUCCUGAAGGAACGUUGAAGACGACGACGUUGAUAGGCCGGGUGUGUAAGCGCAGCGAUGCGUUGAGCUAACCGGUACUAAUGAACCGUGAGGCUUAACCUUACAACGCCGAAG